UAUACUUGGAACGAAAGGAUAAUAAAAUUAUAUAUCCUAUCUUUGAAAAUGAUAUUUUCGGACAAUUUGUUCCCACGGAUGACGAAGAGAAAGAUUUCUAUUUAACAUUUUCAAUAUUGUAUUAUCUUAAAAUAAAAUUUGAUAUUAGCUUCCAAGCAGAAAGCAAUGUUAUACUUGUAACAAAAGAUUUUACAGAUUAUAGUAAAAAAGCAUAUUGUUCCUUAGUUAUUGAAAAAGUAAUAUAUUCAAAAUGUUUCUUUCCCCAGGAUGUUGAAGAUAUUAAAACUAUUACACAAUUGAUUACAUCAAUCAAAAUUGAGAUGAAAGAUGGGAAAUUAAAGACUAUCGAUAAUAGCUUUAUUAUCCGUGCCAAUAAAGAUAUAUUCGAUAUUAAAGGAGAUCAUCAUGUUUUAGACAUUAUU